CAGCAUCUGUGGGGAUAAACGCAAUGGAAUAUAAUUUGAAAUUUAAAUACCUAAGAAGUUGGACAAAGUCUGACAAAGACUUAAUAACUUAGAACACUUAUAUUCAAUAUAAUUUUUUUUUAUAAAAAUUUUUUUUUAAGUUACCAGAGUAAAAAAUAUUGGGAAUCUAAAGAGAACCAUAAAAUUUCUUCCUUUAAAUCUUUGAAAAUCAGAUUUUAUAUUCUUUUACAUUGAACUGGAAUAUAUUGGCUUUCAUUUACAUUACAUUUGCUCGUCCGUCUUAUUUGAGUCUAAGGGAUUGAAAUUUGUAUGUACCCUUGUCUUAUAAAGUGUAAGGAUUUUCACGAUACGUCCACUGGAAUAUCCUCUAAGUAUUUCUUCCAAAUAUUUCUUGUAAGUAUUUCCUCUAAGAAUUUCUUCUAAUUAUUUCCUCUAUGUAUUUCCUUCUAAGUAUUUUUUCCAAGCAUAUCCCCUACGUAUUUCCUCUAAGAUUGUUCUCUUACAAUAUCGUCUAAGUUUUUCCAAAUAUUUCCUCUAAGCAUUUCUUCUAAAUAUUUCCUCUAAGUAUUUCUUCCAAGUAUCUUUGAAUUUCCUCUGUUUUAGAUGCUCAGCUGGACGACAUUAGGCCUGGGUGAAUGAAGAAAUGCUGCAGCUGCCGUUUAUAUAGGGCUACUUGCACUCAAAGCCUAAGUCACUCUCAAAUGUUGAGCCCGGUGCCAGGUAGGGGCUGUUACGGUCGAGCUUCAAGUGAGCAUUGCUUCUAGCUUUGUUUUACUAAAAUAUAAAUACCAAAUGACUACUGUAUACAAAUAGACAACUUAAGUAAUACGUACUAUAUAUUAUGUAGCCUUUCUUCGUGGUUGUGUUCCACAACAAAAUUGACUUUUCAUAGCAAUACUGAAUAGCAGUAUAUAUAAAUAAUAUUUGGACUCGGUUUUUAACUUUAAACAGCUGCAACUUUUCUGAAUGAGCAACAUUAUAUUUAAAAAUUUAUAAAAUUAAUUAUUUUAAAUAAUUAAUGACAUGUCAUCAUUUUGAAAAUACUUUUUACUGCACAUUUGAAUUUUUAAAAUCAGCCUAAAAACUGAAUAAAAGCUAAAUACGAUUUGUUAACACUCUUCUAUUCGGCUUAAAUUAAAUGUGGAAAUUUCGACUCCUAUGAGGCUAAAAAGUUCUUAUCCUAAAGUGUUAACAAUAAAGUUGAUAAUCAGUUCUCCCAGUGGCGCAUGGCUUGUUUGAAGAGGGCUUUGUGCAGGCCGCUGAAGUUGCCGUCGAUCUCGUAGGGGAUGACACCGUAAUCCCAAAUGCGCUCCUUUUUGGCGGUUACAGCACGCGCCACGCGAUUGCGAUGCUGCGGCCGCUUCAGGUUGCUGUGCAAGGCGACAAUGUGCAUGAGGGGGAGAGAGAAGGCGAGAGGGCGGUAAGAGAGAAUGAGUUGUGGUCAUAUUAAAAAAUUUUGCGCAGCAGUUGUGGACCAUUCAAACAAGAGUUGGUUAUGCAUGUCGUAUGUGUAAUUUUAAUUGCCGCCAGUUAUCCAAAAAUGUUGGCUGAAACUUUUUGGCACGCGGAUUUCUAUUAAAAUUCAUAACUUUCAA